UACAGAGGGGGCAAGCGUUGUUCGGAAUUACUGGGCGUAAAGGGCUGGUAGGCGGCCAACUAAGUCGGAUGUGAAAUCCCCAGGCUUAACCUGGGAACUGCAUCCGAUACUGGUCGGCUUGAAUCCGGGAGAGGGAUGCAGAAUUCCAGGUGUAGCGGUGAAAUGCGUAGAUAUCUGGAGGAAUACCGGUGGCGAAGGCGGCAUCCUGGACCGGCAUUGACGCUGAACAGCGAAAGCUAGGGGAGCAAACGGG
rnacentral:rRNA from 1 species